rnacentral:rRNA from 4 species
GGGUAGUUUGACUGGGGCGGUCUCCUCCUAAAGAGUAACGGAGGAGCACGAAGGUUGGCUAAUCCUGGUCGGACAUCAGGAGGUUAGUGCAAUGGCAUAAGCCAGCUUGACUGCGAGCGUGACGGCGCGAGCAGGUGCGAAAGCAGGUCAUAGUGAUCCGGUGGUUCUGAAUGGAAGGGCCAUCGCUCAACGGAUAAAAGGUACUCCGGGGAUAACAGGCUGAUACCGCCCAAGAGUUCAUAUCGACGGCGGUGUUUGGCACCUCGAUGUCGGCUCAUCACAUCCUGGGGCUGAAGUAGGUCCCAAGGGUAUGGCUGUUCGCCAUUUAAAGUGGUACGCGAGCUGGGUUUAGAACGUCGUGAGACAGUUCGGUCCCUAUCUGCCGUGGGCGCUGGAAGAUUGAGGGGGGCUGCUCCUAGUACGAGAGGACCGGAGUGGACGCAUCACUGGUGUUCGGGUUGUCAUGCCAAUGGCACUGCCCGGUAGCUACAUGCGGAAGAGAUAAGUGCUGAAAGCAUCUAAGCACGAAACUUGCCCC